rnacentral:rRNA from 1 species
AUACGUUCCCGGGCCUGUACACACCGCCCGUCACACCAUGAGAGUUGGGGAUACCCGAAGCCUGUGAGCUAACAAUUUUAUUGAGGCAGCAGUCGAAGGUAGAAUCAAUGAUUGGGGUGAAGUCGUAACAAGGUAAC